UCUAACAUCCGUGGACCAGGCCUACUGGUUGCCAUGGAGACGCAGUGUGCAGCUGGAUGGGCCUUGGCAGCUGCCCUUUCCUUCGCCUGGAAUGCUCUGUUCUGAGCUUUACAUCUCCAGGUUUCCUCAGAUAAGCUACUCAGGCCACAUUCCAAGAGACAGUAGGGAUCAUGCCUGUCUAAUUCAGUGCUGUAAUGCCAGCACCUGGCACCGGGCCUACCACAUAGUAGGUGCUAAAUAUGUGUUCAGUAAAA